rnacentral:rRNA from 1 species
GUGAAAUGCGUAGAGAUCCGGAAGAACACCAAAGGCGAAGGCAGUGUCCUGGUUGGUACCUGACGCUCAGAGGCGACAGCUAGGGGAGCGAACGGGAUUAGAUACCCCGGUAGUCCUAGCCGUAAACGAUGACCACGAGAUGUCCGGGGGAUCGACCCCCUGGGUGUCGAAGCAAACGCAGUCAGUGGUCCGCCUGGGGAGUACGGUCGCAAGAUUAAAACUCAAAGGAAUUGACGGGGACCCGCACAAGCAGCGGAGCGUGUGGUUUAAUUCGAUGCAACGCGAAGCACCUUACCAGGGUUUGACAUGUCUUCGCACCUCUAGGAGACUAGAGUGCCCGCAAGGGACGGAGACACAGGUGCUGUAUGGCUGUCGUCAGCUCGCGCCGUGAGGUGUUGGGUUAAGUCCCGCAACGAGCGCAACCCUCAUUGCUAGUUGAACUUCUCUAGCGAGACUGCCACGAUCAACGUGGAGGAAGGUGGGGAUGACGUCAAGUCAGCACGGCCCUUACAUCCUGGGCGACACACACGCUACAAUGGCCGAGACAAAGAGUUGCGAACCGGCGACGGGGAGCUAAUCUCGUCAAACUCGGUCUCAGUUCAGAUUGCAGGCUGCAACCCGCCUGCAUGAAGUUGGAGUUGCUAGUAACCGUGAGUCAGCACAUCACGGUGAAUACGUUCCCGGGUCUUGUACACACCGCCCGUCACACCACGAAAGUCGGCAACCCCUGAAGCCGCUGGGCUAACUCGCAAGAGAGGCAAGCGUCGAGGGUGGGGUCGGUGAUUGGGGUGAAGUCGUAACAAGGUAACCGU